GACGGCGCAUUUAUUUUUCCGUUCAAUGAGUAAACUUUCAUUUACUUCAAUGCUUUACUGUAGGUACAGCGGCGAAGCUAAAAUUUCCGCAUCGGGAAAAAUCCGCUGUGUAUGUGUAACCAGCCUUAGUUCGAUUUUUGGCGAGCGCAAAUGAGCAUGACUUUUCUCUUUUCCCUCGAAUUUUGUCAUUUGCUGAAUUUUCAACUAGUCAAUUACACGUUGCUAUAUAAAAGAAAGUGGCACCCCAACGCUUUUCCGGUGUCGAUGUAAGAAACCACCACUCUGGCGAUAUGUUAACAUUUUAAAUUGCCCCCCCCCCCCGCAAGUGAACGAUUUUCAGUGCUUUAUCGUAAAUCAACUCCGCUG